rfam:Pseudomonas fluorescens Pf-5, complete genome.
CUAUGGUUCGACCGUCGCUGCAAAAUCAGCGAACAGGCUUGGCGGCCUGAUAG